rnacentral:rRNA from 2 species
UUUAGAUUGGGUUUUUAUUUUGAUAUUUAUUUUGAGUAGAAGUAUUGAUAAAAGUUUUUGAUUUUAAAGUAAUGGGUAUAGAAAUAUUUAUUUGUAUGUACUGAGAAGGAUGUAGAAUUUUGUGAAUUUAGUUAUAGUAAAAUUUAAGUUUUGUACCUUUUGCAUAAUGGUUUAAUAAUAUUAUUUUAUGGAUAUAAUUUUCUCGAAAUAUGAAGAUUUAUUUGUUUUAGUAGUAUUUUAUGUGUAGUUAACGUGGUAAAGUUAUUAUUUUAAGAGUAAAUGGUAGUGAAAUGCUAUUCGAUUUGUAUGAUAGCUAGUUUAUUUAUUUUUACAUUUUAGUGUUAGUUAAAAAUUAUUUAUGGUUGGUAGUUUUUUUAGUUUAAGUAUUGGGGGAUAAGCUUCAUAUAUUAUUGUAAGAAUGUAUAUAAUAAGAUGAUUAAUUGAAGUUGAAUUAAUAUUUUUUCUUUAUUGUUAUUUUUAAUGUUAUUUAUAUUAUUAAAUUUUCUUUAUAGCAGUUGGAUAAAUAUCUUUUAAUUAUAAAAAGUGAAAUAUAAUGUUAGAAUGAGUAUUUUUGGAUGGUAUAUAUAAUUAGUUUUAUUUUUAGUAUUUGAAUUUAAAGUUAAUUAAUAUAAAUAUAGGUUUAUAUAUUAAAGUAAAUUAAAGGAAUUUGGCAAGGAUAAAUUUCGCCUGUUUAUCAAAAACAUGUCUCUUUGAGUUUUUUUAAUGAAGAGUUGGGCCUGCUCGGUGAUUAAUAUUUAACAGCUGCGGUAUUAUAACUGUACUAAGGUAGCAUAAUAAUUUGCUCUAUAAAUUGGGGCUAGAAUGAAUGGUUUGACGAGAAUUUAACUGUCUCUAUUUUAUUUAUUAGAAAUUAAUUUUUAUAGUGAAAAAGCUUUAAUUAUUUAAAGGGACGAAAAGACCCUAUUGAGCUUUUGUUAUUAUAUAGAUAUAUAUAUGUAUAUAUAUAUGAUUUAUUUGUAAAUAACUUUGGUUGGGGUGAUCAAGGAAUAAAAAUUAAUUUAAAGUGUUUUAUUAACUUCCUUAAUUUUAAAUUUAGUUGAAGAAUAAACCAAGUUUUUUGCUUAGAAGAUAAGUUACCAUAGGGAUAACAGCGUAAUUUUUUUUGAGAGUUCAUAUUGAAAAAAGAGAUUGCGACCUCGAUGUUGGAUUAAAAUUGACCUUAAGGUGUAGAGGCUUUAUUAGGUAAAUCUGUUCGAUUUUUAAAAUUUUACAUGAUCUGAGUUCAAACCGGUGAAAACCAGGUUGGUUUUUAUCUUUUAAAUUAUUUUUUUAUUUGAUUUAGUACGAAAGGAUUGAUUAUGAUUAAUUGUUUUUAAUUAAUUUUAUAAAUAUUGG